GACGAACGCUGGCGGCGUGCCUAAUACAUGCAAGUAGAACGCUGAAGGAGGAGCUUGCUCUUCUGGAUGAGUUGCGAACGGGUGAGUAACGCGUAGGUAACCUGCCUGGUAGCGGGGGAUAACUAUUGGAAACGAUAGCUAAUACCGCAUAACAGUAGAUGUUGCAUGACAUUUACUUAAAAGGUGCAAUUGCAUCACUACCAGAUGGACCUGCGUUGUAUUAGCUAGUUGGUGGGGUAACGGCUCACCAAGGCGACGAUACAUAGCCGACCUGAGAGGGUGAUCGGCCAAACUGGGACUGGGACACGGCCCAGACUCCUACGGGAGGCAGCAGUAGGGAAUCUUCGGCAAUGGACGGAAGUCUGACCGAGCAACGCCGCGUGAGUGAAGAAGGUUUUCGGAUCGUAAAGCUCUGUUGUAAGAGAAGAACGAGUGUGAGAGUGGAAAGUUCACACUGUGACGGUAUCUUAUCAGAAAGGGACGGCUAACUACGUG
rnacentral:rRNA from 1 species